rnacentral:rRNA from 1 species
UAGUCCACGCCGUAAACGAUGGAUACUAGCUGUCCGGGGCCUUGAGUCCUGGGCGGCCAAGCGAAAGUGAUAAGUAUCCCACCUGGGGAGUACGUUCGCAAGAAUGAAACUCAAAGGAAUUGACGGGGGCCCGCACAAGCGGUGGAGCAUGUGGUUUAAUUCGAUGAUACGCGAGGAACCUUACCAGGGCUUAAAUGCAUAUUGACAGGUCUAGAGAUAGACUUUCCUUCGGGCAAUUUGCAAGGUGCUGCAUGGUUGUCGUCAGCUCGUGCCGUGAGGUGUCAGGUUAAGUCCCUGAACGAGCGAAACCCUUGCCGCUAGUUGCCAGCACUUAAGGUGGGGACUCUAGCGGGACUGCCGUUGUCAAAACGGAGGAAGGUGGGGAUGACGUCAAGUCAUCAUGGCCUUUAUGUCCUGGGCUACACACGUGCCACAAUGGUCGGGAUAGAACGAAGCAAAAUCGCGAGAUGGAGCAAAUCGCUUAAACCCGGCCCCAGUUCGGAUUGGAGGCUGC